UGGGGAAUAUUGGACAAUGGGCGAAAGCCUGAUCCAGCCAUGCCGCGUGUGUGAAGAAGGUCUUCGGAUUGUAAAGCACUUUAAGUUGGGAGGAAGGGCAGUAAGCGAAUACCUUGCUGUUUUGACGUUACCGACCGAAUAAGCACCGGCUAACUCUGUGCCAGCAGCCGCGGUAAUACAGAGGGUGCAAGCGUUAAUCGGAAUUACUGGGCGUAAAGCGCGCGUAGGUGGUUCGUUAAGUUGAAUGUGAAAGCCCCGGGCUCAACCUGGGAACGGCAUCCAAAACUGGCGAGCUAGAGUAGGGCAGAGGGUGGUGGAAUUUCCUGUGUAGCGGAGAAAUACGUAGAUAUAGGAAGGAACACCAGUGGCGAAGGCGACCACCUGGGCUCAUACUGACACUGAGGUGCGAAAGCGUGGGGAGCAAACAGG
rnacentral:rRNA from 1 species